rnacentral:lncRNA from 1 species
UCUUUGUUUUUUCCUAUAUAUAAACAUAAAUAGGUAAUGAGCACUUUCUACUCAAGCAAUAAAAAGUCCCAAAAUAUUACUCCCUGCGUCCAGUGAAGUGGCAUAAAAAUCACAUGGAAGGAGGGACCUGGAAGACACGGGGGACACACUGACACCUCUCAGAGUAUCUGCAGAAGCAUCGAAACAACAAUUUCCAAUGACUCUAAGAGAAGACAUCACCUUCUAAUGCAAGGUAAUGGCAGCAAACCUGGGUCUGUGUUAGGCCUUGGAAUUACGUGAGGAGUUAGUUGGUUUGAACACCAAAAAUAGAAAGUUUAGA